GAUGAACGCUGGCGGCGUGCCUAAUACAUGCAAGUCGAGCGAACGGACGAGAAGCUUGCUUUUCUGAUGUUAGCGGCGGACGGGUGAGUAACACGUGGAUAACCUACCUAUAAGACUGGGAUAACUUCGGGAAACCGGAGCUAAUACCGGAUAAUAUUUUGAACCGCAUGGUUCAAAAGUGAAAGACGGUCUUGCUGUCACUUAUAGAUGGAUCCGCGCUGCAUUAGCUAGUUGGUAAGGUAACGGCUUACCAAGGCAACGAUGCAUAGCCGACCUGAGAGGAGGGGAAGCCUCACUGGAACAUGACACGGGACCGAGGGCCGACGGGAGGAAGAAGCAGGGGAAGGUGGCCAGUGGUCGAAAAACUAACAAAGAGACGCGGAGUAAGGGACAAAGGUUGUCGGAUCUGAAUACUCUGUUAUGGAGUAAAAAAAGAGGGGUAAGGAACAAUGCACGGCGUGACGGGAGCGAAUAAGAAAGCCACGGCGAACGACGGU
rnacentral:rRNA from 1 species